rnacentral:rRNA from 1 species
UACGGAGGGUGCAAACGUUGCUCGGAAUUAUUGGGCGUAAAGCGCACGUAGGCGGCCGAAUAAGUCGGGUGUGAAAGCCCUGGGCUCAACCCAGGAAGUGCACUCGAAACUGCUCGGCUUGAGUUCGGGAGAGGGAUGCGGAAUUCCAGGUGUAGCGGUGAAAUGCGUAGAUAUCUGGAGGAACACCGGUGGCGAAGGCGGCAUCCUGGACCGAUACUGACGCUGAGGAGCGAAAGCCAGGGGAGCAAACGGG